rnacentral:rRNA from 1 species
UACAGAGGGGGCAAGCGUUGUUCGGAAUUACUGGGCGUAAAGGGCGCGUAGGCGGCCUGCUAAGUCGAACGUGAAAUCCCCGGGCUCAACCCGGGAACUGCGUCCGAUACUGGCAGGCUUGAAUCCGGGAGAGGGGUGCGGAAUUCCAGGUGUAGCGGUGAAAUGCGUAGAUAUCUGGAGGAACACCGGUGGCGAAGGCGGCAUCCUGGACCGGCAUUGACGCUGAGGCGCGAAAGCCAGGGGAGCAAACGGG